UACAGAGGGUGCAAGCGUUAAUCGGAAUUACUGGCGUAAGCGUGCGUAGACGGUUAUGUAAGUCAGAUGUGAAAGCCCCGGGCUCAACCUGGGAAUUGCAUUUGAGACUGCAUAGCUAGGGUGCGGAAGAGGGAAGCGGAAUUUCCGGUGUAGCGGUGAAAUGCGUAGAUAUCGGAAGGAACACCAGUGGCGAAAGCGGCUUCCUGGUCCAGCACCGACGUCAGGCACGAAAGCGUGGGGAGCAAACAGG
rnacentral:rRNA from 1 species